rnacentral:rRNA from 1 species
AGCAAUCUGCCUUUUUUUUUUGGAGGUAGGGGAAAGUAACGGUUAGGAAACAGCCGCUAAUACCGCAUGAUGCGUCUGGGAGGCAUCUCUCUGGACGCCAAAGAUUUAUCGCUCUGAGAUGAGCUCGCGUCUGAUUAGCUUGUUGGCGGGGUAAAGGCCCACCAAGGCGACGAUCAGUAGCCGGACUGAGAGGUUGGCCGGCCACAUUGGGACUGAGACACGGCCCAGACUCCUACGGAAGGCAGCAG